UCUAUGAAAGCUUUUGAUGGCUGUCUGCUGUCUGCUUAACUGGGCAUUGAUGGCAGGUCAAUUUUUAAAAAGUUUGUACUUCAAAUAUAGGAACUAUCUUGCUUUCGGCGGAUUAUUCUCAGUUGGAACUUCGAAUAUUGGCGCAUUUGAGCGAAGACGCAGGUUUUGUUCUGUUCUUAGCCAACCCGAUGACGAUGUUUUCCGCGGCAUUGUAUCGGUUUGGAAAAAGAAAAAGCAAGAAGAAGUCAGAGACGAUGAAAGGCAAAAAGCGAAACAAAUCUGCUACGGGAUUGUUUACGGCAUGGGAUGUAAAAGUUUAGCCGAACAGUUGGAAGUCGGGGAAGAAGAGGCUCAACUCUUUGUUAACACUUUCCACGCAAGCUAUCCUAGUAAGUUAAUCGUGUGUGUUGUCAAUUCUGGAUAUAGCCUAAUCUUUAUAAUCUGAUUACAUCAAUGCCUUUUAGGUCAACCGAUGUGGAAAAAAAUUCAGGAGGAAAAUGAAUUGAGCUGCUGACAUUGGCCUAUUCUGGAAUACAUCAGUUUGCAUCAUAAUCAGAAAGGUAAUAUUGCCUCUUUUAAUUCCUUAUCCAGUUGUAGCUAUGACUUGAGUCUGCGUAGAUAAAUUUCUUAGCUUUAUUUGAAAUUUGAGGCUGUGAUAACUUUUUGAAAACGACAAGAUAUUUUCUAAACUAAAGCUUCACUAGAUCUACCCAAAAGCAAGCAAUCUUUAUUUCAACAUAUAGAUAGCAAUUACUUGUUACACCAAAAGUACCCCGCCAGGGUGUGUUCUGUUAUUUCCCGCCCGAAUUAUUUUGGGUAGCUUUUUUCUCAGAAUUUAUUAAUCACAUCGUCAUGGUUUCAACUGCGCUAGGUUGGUUUACGUUAACGAUCACAUCAUCGCCGUGUCUGAUCCUUUUCGAUUGCACUAUAUGAUGCAGCGAGUGUGGGUGUAUGUCGAAAAUAUAAAUUACGCAGAAACCUCCAUAGAAGGGAAACUUGUGUGAUUAGCAUCACACACACACACACACACACACACACAAGAGAAUCCAAACACAUCCUUUGUUAUUCAGAUUAUUUUCCCUUUUUUUUUUUUUUUUUAUGUGUAAG
rnacentral:misc_RNA from 1 species